GAUGAACGCUGGCGGCGUGCCUAAUACAUGCAAGUCGAGCGAACAGACGAGGAGCUUGCUCCUCUGACGUUAGCGGCGGACGGGUGAGUAACACGUGGAUAACCUACCUAUAAGACUGGGAUAACUUCGGGAAACCGGAGCUAAUACCGGAUAAUAUAUUAAACCGCAUGGUUCAAUAGUGAAAGACGGUUUUGCUGUCACUUAUAGAUGGAUCCGCGCCGCAUUAGCUAGUUGGUAAGGUAACGGCUUACCAAGGCAACGAUGCGUAGCCGACCUGAGAGGGUGAUCGGCCAAACUGGAACUGAGACACGGUCCAGGCUCCUACGGGAGGCAGCAGUAGGGAAUCUUCCGCAAUGGGCGAAAGCCUGACGGAGCAACGCCGCGUGAGUGAUGAAGGUCUUCGGAUCGUAAAACUCUGUUAUUAGGGAAGAACAAAUGUGUAAGUAACUAUGCACGUCUUGACGGUACCUAAUCAGAAAGCCACGGCUAACUACGUG
rnacentral:rRNA from 1 species